rnacentral:rRNA from 1 species
GACGAACGCUGGCGGCGUGCUUAACACAUGCAAGUCGAACGGAAAGGCCCUGCUAUCGUGGGGUGCUCGAGUGGCGAACGGGUGAGUAACACGUGAGUAACCUGCCCUUGACUUUGGGAUAACUUCAGGAAAUUGGGGCUAAUACCGGAUAGGAGCUCCUGCUGCAUGGUGGGGGUUGGAAAGUUUCGGCGGUUGGGGAUGGACUCGAGGCUUACCAGCUUGUUGGUGGUGUAGUGGCUUACCAAGGCUUUGACGGGUAGCCGGCCUGAGAGGGUGACCGGCCACAUUGGGACUGGGAUACGGCCCAGACUCCUACGGGAGGCAGCAGUGGGGAAUAUUGCACAAUGGGCGGAAGCCUGAUGCAGCAACGCCGCGUGCGGGAUGACGGCCUUCGGGUUGUAAACCGCUUUCGCCUGUGACGAAGCGUGAGUGACGGUAAUGGGUAAAGAAGCACCGGCUAACUACGUG